rnacentral:tRNA from 1 species
GGUUCUAUGGUGUAAUGGUUAGCACUCUGGACUCUGAAUCCAGUGAUCUGAGUUCAAAUCUCGGUAGGACCU